UGCAUGAUCUAUUCCAUAUUUAAUUUUCGUUUCAUGCUUAAUUUCCACUUUUGUGUUUAAUGGUUGUUUCAUGUGAUUAUUUGAUAAUUAAAGUGGUACCUUGACCUUUUUAUUAUUUUGGAGGGUAAUUUAAUAAUUUCACUUCAUUAGAGCAUCGAUUCAAGGGAGGUACAUUCUAUCCCUUAUUUGCACUUCAUUUGACCCUACGUGCUCCUACGUGUUAUGUGAAUAUGCAUGUCUAUUUCGCUUUCCUUGCCUUUCCUUAAUUCCUUGCAUUUAUUUCAUUUAUUUUUACUUUUAUUUAAGUUGUUCUUUAUGGGGUAUGUGUACACCUCUUAGCUUGUAAUAGAUAGGGCUUGGAGAAGCAUUUGAUGAAGACCUAUUGAAGACGUGUGCCUAGCUAGCAAAUGUAAUAGAUUUAUUAGUUUGGUUGCUUACCUUUGUUGCUACAUGUUAAUUUGCUUUAUUAGGCCCUUGCAUCUAGUCGAGCAUGCUAAAUGUUAUGUGCUAUGUGUUUACGAGUGUUUGGCAUGUCUACUCGCUUUCCAU
rnacentral:lncRNA from 1 species